AAUGGUGUUCUUUAAUGAAGUCUGUGAUUUUGUUUAAAACAGGUGCAGUUCCUAUAGCUAUGGAGCUAAACGGUGUGUUUCUUAAGGAAGAUGAAGUCACCUUGGUGCCAAUGAUUGAAGGAGACUCUGUCAAACUACACACUGAUCUGACUGAAACACAGGAAACUGAUAUAAUAUGGUGGAAGUUUGUUGAUUCCAAAGAACACAAUUGUGCUAAAUUUGUAAUCAUAGCUAGACUGAAUAAAGCCAACGAUGAGGAAUACCUAUGUAAUGAAGAAAUAUUCAAAGACAAGUUGAAACUGGACCGCAUUACCGGAUCUCUCACCAUCUCAAGCAUCACACCUGAACACUAUGGACAUUAUAAUCUACAGAUCAUCAGAAAAGGAGAGAUGGUCGUGCAUACAUUCAGUUUUGUUGCUCAUAAUCUAAUGAGACUAGAGCGGACCCAAAGCCUUCUCCAGAGGAGACAAACCUGCCCAUGAUUACAACCGAUGACCUUACCGUAUAUGAAGACUGGAAUAGCAUCCACAUUUCAAUUCCACCACAACAUUUUUUAUACUUUUUUCAACCAUCUAACAUCCCGAAUGACAAAACACUCUAAUGAUAUAUAUAUAUUCACAUUUUCUGCAUAUUUUUCCCUUUUGCAUUUUGUUUUUCCUGAUUUCUCAAGAAACCUCGGUAGGGAAACAAAGUAGUUACGCUUUUCAUUAUUUAAUCAGCAUAUAGAGUUAAGUUUUUCUGAUAACACUAUUUUGGAAUAAUUUGUUUAUUUUUUUUUUGGUUAUAUAUAUAGCUUUAUUUGUACAACUAAAU
rnacentral:lncRNA from 1 species